rnacentral:rRNA from 1 species
UACGGAGGGUGCAAGCGUUAUCCGGAUUCACUGGGUUUAAAGGGUGCGUAGGUGGAUUAGUAAGUCAGUGGUGAAAUCUCCGGGCUUAACCCGGAAACUGCCAUUGAUACUAUUAGUCUUGAAUACCGUGGAGGUCAGCGGAAUAUGGUCAUGUAGCGGUGAAAUGCUUAGAUAUGACAUAGAACACCAAUUGCGAAGGCAGCUGGCUACACGAGCAUUGACACUCAGGCACGAAAGCGUGGGGAGCAAACAGG